rnacentral:lncRNA from 1 species
GUAAGUAAGGGGGAAGGAAACCAAUGUUUUGUUCUGUACAAUAUUUUCUUCUGUUUCUAUUUAUUAGGCACUCCCAUUUGGGAUAAAUGGGUUUCAUGCUGAAUCAAAUAUUAUCACAGACAUUGACAUAGUGUACUUGGGUGUUUAUAAUAUUUACAAAAAAACGGUGCGGGAAAUGGACACGAUUACAUUUCCGAAUGCGGGAAGCGGGAAUAUAAAAAAAAAAAAAAAUCUACUUUGAAAAAAAUAGGUGCGGGCGGGUCCGUCGAACAAGGAAUUAAAUUGGUGUGGCCUUAGAUUGUUUUCUUCAUCUCUAUAAAUUUUUUCC